GUUAGAUGCGAUGGGGGGACGGAUCGCGGAAGGUUGUCCGGGUGUUGGAAGUCCCGGUCGCUGCAUUGGAGAAGGCGCUUAGGCAAAUCCGGGCGCAGGAUUCAAGGGUGUGGCGCGAGCUCCUUCGGGAGCGAAGCAAUUGGAAGUGGUUCCAAGAAAAGCCUCUAAGCUUCAGUCUAACGAUGACCGUACCGCAAACCGACACAGGUGGGCGAGAUGAGUAUUCUAAGGCGCUUGAGAGAACUCGGGAGAAGGAACUCGGCAAAUUGGUACCGUAACUUCGGGAUAAGGUACGCCCUGGUAGCUUGACUGGCCUGCGCCAGAAGGGUGAAGGGGUUGCAAUAAACUGGUGGCUGCGACUGUUUAAUAAAAACACAGCACUCUGCAAACACGAAAGUGGACGUAUAGGGUGUGACGCCUGCCCGGUGCCGGAAGAUUAAAUGAUGGGGUGCAAGCUCUUGAUUGAAGUCCCGGUAAACGGCGGCCGUAACUAUAACGGUCCUAAGGUAGCGAAAUUCCUUGUCGGGUAAGUUCCGACCUGCACGAAUGGCGUAACGAUGGCCACACUGUCUCCUCCCGAGACUCAGCGAAGUUGAAGUGUUUGUGAUGAUGCAAUCUACCCGCGGCUAGACGGAAAGACCCCAUGAACCUUUACUGUAGCUUUGCAUUGGACUUUGAACCGAUCUGUGUAGGAUAGGUGGGAGGCUAUGAAACCGGAACGCUAGUUUCGGUGGAGCCGUCCUUGAAAUACCACCCUGGUUUGUUUGAGGUUCUAACCUUGGCCCGUGAUCCGGGUCGGGGACAGUGCAUGGUAGGCAGUUUGACUGGGGCGGUCUCCUCCCAAAGCGUAACGGAGGAGUACGAAGGUACGCUAGGUACGGUCGGAAAUCGUGCUGAUAGUGCAAUGGCAUAAGCGUGCUUAACUGCGAGACCGACAAGUCGAGCAGGUGCGAAAGCAGGUCAUAGUGAUCCGGUGGUUCUGUAUGGAAGGGCCAUCGCUCAACGGAUAAAAGGUACUCUGGGGAUAACAGGCUGAUACCGCCCAAGAGUUCAUAUCGACGGCGGUGUUUGGCACCUCGAUGUCGGCUCAUCUCAUCCUGGGGCUGUAGCCGGUCCCAAGGGUAUGGCUGUUCGCCAUUUAAAGAGGUACGUGAGCUGGGUUUAAAACGUCGUGAGACAGUUUGGUCCCUAUCUGCCGUGGGCGUUGGAAGUUUGAAGGGGGCUGCUCCUAGUACGAGAGGACCGGAGUGGACGAACCUCUGGUGUACCGGUUGUGACGCCAGUCGCAUCGCCGGGUAGCUAUGUUCGGAAGAGAUAACCGCUGAAAGCAUCUAAGCGGGAAACUCGCCUUAAGAUGAGACUUCCCCGGGGACUUGAUCCCCUUGAAGGGUCGUUCGAGACCAGGACGUUGAUAGGUCGGGUGUGUAAGCGCAGUAAUGCGUUCAGCUAACCGAUACUAAUUGCCCGUACGGCUUGAUCCU
rnacentral:rRNA from 2 species